AACGGUCUAUACCUGCGGUACCUGCGGAAGGAUCAUUACAGAGUGUGACCCCCUGUAAAAAGGGGGGUACCUCCCGUCCUUUGCAGGCCCUUUAGGGUCUUUUACACUUUGCUUCGGUGGGGUAACCCACCGGAACACCCUCAAAAAUUCUGAUUUUAAAAUUGUUCAGUCUGAGAAUUUUGAAAAUAAAAAAAACUUUUAACAACGGAUCUCU
rnacentral:misc_RNA from 1 species